rnacentral:rRNA from 1 species
GACGAACGCUGGCGGCGUGCUUAACACAUGCAAGUCGAGCGGAAAGGCCACUUCGGUGGUACUCGAGCGGCGAACGGGUGAGUAACACGUGAGCAAUCUGCCCCGAACUCUGGGAUAAGCGUUGGAAACGACGUCUAAUACCGUAUACGACGCGCGAAGGCAUCUUCUGCGCGUGGAAAGAACUUCGGUUCGGGAUGAGCUCGCGGCCUAUCAGCUAGUUGGUGAGGUAACGGCCCACCAAGGCGACGACGGGUAGCCGGCCUGAGAGGGUGGCCGGCCACACUGGGACUGAGACACGGCCCAGACUCCUACGGGAGGCAGCAGUGGGGAAUAUUGCACAAUGGGCGCAAGCCUGAUGCAGCAACGUCGCGUGAGGGACGACGGCCUUCGGGUUGUAAACCUCUUUUAGUAGGGAAGAAGCGAAAGUGACGGUACCUGCAGAAAAAGCACCGGCUAACUACGUGCCAGCCGCCGCAGUAAGAC